rnacentral:rRNA from 1 species
UACGUAGGGUGCAAGCGUUGUCCGGAAUUAUUGGGCGUAAAGAGCUCGUAGGCGGUCUGUCGCGUCGGCUGUGAAAACCCGGGGCUCAACCCCGGGCCUGCAGUCGAUACGGGCAGACUAGAGUGCGGUAGGGGAGACUGGAAUUCCUGGUGUAGCGGUGAAAUGCGCAGAUAUCGGGAGGAACACCGGUGGCGAAGGCGGGUCUCUGGGCCGGAUACUUGACGCUGAGGAGCGAAAGCGUGGGGAGCGAA